UGGUCUUCCGAUCAAUUCGGAGAAGCUUGGCGAAAGAAAUUUCGCUCCAGCACGCACGUCUUACACGAUUCUUCAGAAGCCUUUCAGCACGCCUCUCAAACGAAGCGUGUACUCGUAAAAUUUCAAUAGACAAUAACUCGAACGAUAAACGAGAGAUUCUAAGAGGAACAGAAGAGCAAAAGAGCUUUAUGGAUUUACCACGAGAAAAAAGAAAAAAAGAAGAAAGAAAAAAAUAGAAAAUUUCCAAGAGCGAUAAAAAGGUGACUUAAAGUAUAAAGUUAAAUUUAAAGACCAUCGGAAUACUUAUGUUUUCAUCGACUGAGAAUAUUAAGAUAUAUAUCGAAUAUAUAUAUAUUAAAACAGUAACAAAAGUACAGAAGAUAUCCAG